rnacentral:rRNA from 1 species
AGAGUUUGAUCAUGGCUCAGAACGAACGCUGGCGGCGUGGAUAAGACAUGCAAGUCGAGCGCUGAUUACGAGGUAGCAAUAUUUCGUGGUCGGAGCGGCGCAAGGGUGCGUAACACGUGGGCAAUCUGCCGUGAAGUCGGGGACAACUUGCUGAAAGGCGAGCUAAUACCGGAUGUAAAAAUUGGGAGGCAUCUUCUGAUUUUCAAAGCUGGGGACCGUAAGGCCUGGCGCUUCAUGAUGAGCCCGCGGCCUAUCAGCUAGUUGGUGAGGUAACGGCUCACCAAGGCUAAGACGGGUAGCUGGUCUGAGAGGACGACCAGCCACACUGGAACUGAGACACGGUCCAGACACCUACGGGUGGCAGCAGUCGAGAAUUUUUCACAAUGGGCGAAAGCCUGAUGGAGCGACGCCGCGUGGGGGAUGAAUGGCUUCGGCCCGUAAACCCCUGUCAUUUGCGAUCAACCGUUAUUAUUUAAAAGAUGAUGACCUGAUAGUAGCGAAAGAGGAAGGGACGGCUAACUCUGUGCCAGCAGCCGCGGUAAUACAGAGGUCCCAAGCGUUGUUCGGAUUCACUGGGCGUAAAGGGUGCGUAGGUGGCGAGGUAAGUCGGAUGUGAAAGCUCGGAGCUCAACUCCGAAAUGGCAUUGGAAACUACCUUGCUCGAGGGUUGGAGGGGGGACUGGAAUUCUCGGUGUAGCAGUGAAAUGCGUAGAUAUCGAGAGGAACACCAGUGGCGAAGGCGAGUCCCUGGACAACUCCUGACACUGAGGCACGAAAGCUAGGGGAGCAAACAGGAUUAGAUACCCUCGUAGUCC